rnacentral:rRNA from 1 species
AACGAACGCUGGCGGCAGGCUUAACACAUGCAAGUCGAGCGCCCCGCAAGGGGAGCGGCAGACGGGUGAGUAACGCGUGGGAAUCUACCCAUCUCUAUGGAAUAACGCAUGGAAACGUGUGCUAAUACCGUAUACGUCCUUCGGGAGAAAGAUUUAUCGGAGAUGGAUGAGCCCGCGUUGGAUUAGCUAGUUGGUGGGGUAAAGGCCUACCAAGGCGACGAUCCAUAGCUGGUCUGAGAGGAUGAUCAGCCACACUGGGACUGAGACACGGCCCAGACUCCUACGGGAGGCAGCUGUGGGGAAUAUUGGACAGUGGGCGCAAGCCUGAUCCAGCCAUGCCGCGUGAGUGAUGAAGGCCCUAGGGUUGUAAAGCUCUUUCACCGGUGAAGAUAAUGACGGUAACCGGAGAAGAAGCCCCGGCUAACUUCGUGCCAGCCGCCGUCGUAACAC